rnacentral:rRNA from 1 species
CGGGUGAGUAACGCGUGGGUAACCUGCCUUGUACUGGGGGACAACAGUUAGAAAUGACUGCUAAUACCGCAUAAGCGCACAGUAUCGCAUGAUACAGUGUGAAAAACUCCGGUGGUACAAGAUGGACCCGCGUCUGAUUAGCUAGUUGGUAAGGUAACAGCUUACCAAGGCGACGAUCAGUAGCCGACCUGAGAGGGUGACCGGCCACAUUGGGACUGAGACACGGCCCAA